AUUUAUUCAUUCAUCUGAGCCUCACAACAACCUGGGAGGUAAUUUCAGGGGCUGGCUCUAGGAGGGGAGGUCAAGAAAUCAGAAGAAAUAUCAUGUAGAAGAAAGCACCUGUGCUAAGCUGAGCUCUGAAGGAAGCUAAAACUUCUAAGAAGCAGAGCAUUAUGCUAAUGAGGCAUUGGAGGGAGUGAAGACAGUGGAGAGCCUCCUUCUACAGGGACUAACGACAAUUUA